GUGAGUAGUUCAGAGUUUGAUCCUGGCUCAGGAUGAACGCUGGCGGCGUGCUUAACACAUGCAAGUCGAACGAAGCAUUGGAAAACGAAUCUUCGGAAGAGUUUCCUUUGACUGAGUGGCGGACGGGUGAGUAACGCGUGGGUAACCUGCCUCACACAGGGGGAUAACAGUUAGAAAUGACUGCUAAAACCGCAUAACAUGGCGAGACCGCAUGACCUUGCCAUCAAAUAUUUAUAGGUGUGAGAUGGGCCCGCGUCUGAUUAGCUAGUUGGUGAGGUAAUGGCUCACCAAGGCGACGAUCAGUAGCCGGCUUGAGAGAGUGAACGGCCACAUUGGGACUGAGACACGGCCCAA
rnacentral:rRNA from 1 species